UCGGGAAUUUUGGGCAAUGGGCGAAAGCCUGACCCAGCAACGCCGCGUGAAGGAUGAAGUAUUUCGGUAUGUAAACUUCGUAAGAAUAGGAAGAAUAAAUGACGGUACUAUUUGUAAGGUCCGGCUAACUACGUGCCAGCAGCCGCGGUAAUACGUAGGGACCAAGCGUUGUUCGGAUUUACUGGGCGUAAAGGGCGCGUAGGCGGUUUGUCAAGUCAGUUGUGAAAUCUCCGAGCUUAACUCGGAACGGUCAACUGAUACUGUCAAACUAGAGUACAGAAGGGGCAAUCGGAAUUCUUGGUGUAGCGGUGAAAUGCGUAGAUAUCAAGAGGAACACCUGAGGCGAAGGCGGCCACCUGGUUGGAUACUGACGCUGAGACGCGAAAGCGUGGGGAGCAAACAGGAUUAGAUACCCUCGUGGUCCCUGAGCGGGCUGGCAAGGCGCAU
rnacentral:rRNA from 1 species